rnacentral:rRNA from 1 species
UACGUAGGGCGCAAGCGUUGUCCGGAAUUAUUGGGCGUAAAGAGCUCGUAGGCGGCUUGUCACGUCGGAUGUGAAAGCCCGGGGCUUAACCCCGGGUCUGCAUUCGAUACGGGCAGGCUAGAGUGUGGUAGGGGAGAUCGGAAUUCCUGGUGUAGCGGUGAAAUGCGCAGAUAUCAGGAGGAACACCGGUGGCGAAGGCGGAUCUCUGGGCCAUUACUGACGCUGAGGAGCGAAAGCGUGGGGAGCAAACGGG